GGACGGCGCUGCCGAUGACCAAUAAGAGGCUGACAAGGGUGGGACGGCGCUGCCGAUGACCAAUCACAGGCUGGCGAGGGCGGGACAGCGCUGCCGAUGACAAAUCAAAGGCUGACGAGGUCGGGACGGCGCUGCCGGUGACCAAUCACAGGCUGACGAGGGCGGGACGGCGCUGCCGGUGAGCAAUGAGUGGCUGACGAGUGCGGGACGGCGCUACCGAUGACCAAUCGCAGGCUGACAACGGCGGGAUGGCGCUGCCGAUGACCAAUCACAGGCUGAAGAGGGCGG